rnacentral:misc_RNA from 1 species
ACUUUGCAGCCCGACUUGAGUGGAGCUCUUUUUCUAUGAAACAAAGCGGAAUAGAAAAAAGCGGGAACGGAAGGCGGAAAUGUCU